rnacentral:rRNA from 1 species
UACGAAAGGUGCAAGCGUUACUCGGAAUCACUGGGCGUAAAGCGUACGUAGGCGGACUCGUAGGUCAAUUGUGAAAUACCUGGGCUCAACCCAGGAACUGCAGUUGAAACCGCUUGUCUUGAAUACCUGAGAGGGUGGGGGAAUACCUGGUGGAGAAGUGAAAUUCGUAGAGAUCAGGUGGAACACCGGAGGCGAAGGCGCCUGCCUGGCAGUGUAUUGACGCUGAGGUGCGAAAGUGCGGGGAGCAAACAGG